rnacentral:lncRNA from 1 species
CCCUGAACAGCACUGCACGUUUCAGAGAGUUCAGACAAUGAAAGCAACAUCACGUUCCUCUCUCUUUGGUUUCAAAUUUCAAAUUCUCCUUUAGUUUCAUCUUCCACACACUCUGUCACUCUAUCUCUCAGUAUCUAUCUAUCUAUCGAAAUUUCCUUCCAAUUCCAUUUCUAAAAACACCAAAACCUAUGGUAGGAGGAAGAAGAUGACCGAGAUUCAAGAAUUUGGAGGAAAUAAAGCUACUUAUGGAAGAACUGAAGAAGAUUUUUGUUAUACUCAUAAAGGUAACACUGUGAUAUAAAAUAUUUUGGUUUUUGUUUGUUCAUUUAGAUUGACAUAAAUAGAUCUUUUGUGUAUGUUUUUAGGUGUUUUUUGAAAAAAAGAACCUAUGAGUGGCCAUGAAGUUGUUCUCGAGUAAGUUUUAAACUUUCUGCAGCUUUAUUUAUUUAUUUAUUUAUGUUUUUCAUUUUAUGUUUGUUUCACUCCUCUGCUUAAUGAUUGAUUGUUCGCUGCUAUUGAAAUUUGUUUCAAUUGAUUGUUCUCUAUUUUAUUGAAACAGGAUGAUUCAUAUGUUGACAUCUAUAUCAGUACAAUUGAACUGGACUUUGUAAGCAUUCACAUCCAC